rnacentral:rRNA from 1 species
GACGAACGCUGGCGGCGUGCUUAACACAUGCAAGUCGAACGGAAAGGCCCUUCGGGGUCCUCGAGUGGCGAACGGGUGAGUAACACGUGGGUGAUCUGCCCUGCACUUUGGGAUAAGCCUGGGAAACUGGGUCUAAUACCGAAUAGGACCACGCGCUUCAUGGUGUGUGGUGGCAAGCUUUUGCGGUGUGGGAUGGGCCCGCGGCCUAUCAGCUUGUUGGUGGGGUAAUGGCCUACCAAGGCGACGACGGGUAGCCGGCCUGAGAGGGUGACCGGCCACACUGGGACUGAGAUACGGCCCAGACUCCUACGGGAGGCAGCAGUGGGGAAUAUUGCACAAUGGGCGCAAGCCUGAUGCAGCGACGCCGCGUGAGGGAUGACGGCCUUCGGGUUGUAAACCUCUUUCAAUAGGGACGAAGCGCAAGUGACGGUACCUAUAGAAGAAGCACCGGCCAACUACGUG